GUCUGGAGGUAAGCUGUUCAGAGCUGAUGCGGUGUUUCCAGGCAGCAGGUAGUGAUCCAGGCUCUUUUCUAUUUCUACUCAGCAUGUCCUUAGGCACUUGGAAGAGUAAAGAACAAUAAGUAAGGAAUUCUAGAAGUCUCUUAAAAAAAAAGAAAAUCUAUGUUUGAGAUCUCCAAUAGAAGUCAUCAGAACCCUGUUAGGGAAAUGCAUGACAUGAAGACACAUGCUUGUCUCACUUUGGAACUGGAGGAAAGAGUUGAAACCUACAUCUGUAUGGAAACGCUCACAGACCUAGAAGAAACGAAUCUAAAAAACAGUCAAGCUGCCUAUAGCAAUAUCACAAAUAGGGGAAUGUUGAACUUUUUUUAAGUAAAAGAUAAAAGAAGACAAAAAUGUAAUUUUUUCUGUAUGAAACCUUUCGUUCUCUUUG
rnacentral:lncRNA from 1 species